UAGACUCGCUCAAGGCAACAGAGUCCGACUGCUGAAGCACUCCGACCUCCGACAUGGCACCGGGCUCACACACGGUCACUGCAAGAGGUAAACCAACUCAAGCUCAGUUGACAUGACUACAAGCAGCCGAUCAUUCAUUUUCAAACAGCAGCCCGGCUUGGUUGGUCCCUCCCCCCAGAAAAAAAACCCCACCCUGCCAGCCAGGCUUCCUUCUACGCACUCCCCCCGCAAUCUGAUAGGAGGAAAAUGCUCACGCCACAAGCCUCGGCUUCCAAAAAAGGUCAUGCGAGCCAAAUAAAUCAGGCACGGAGGGACGCGUCAACGAUACUAUGAAAUCCAUCCCCCUAACAACAAGCUGCAGUCAUGCUGGCUAAGGUAGCUGCCAUCCAACUGUUGAUGCACUGUAGCUGCACACCAAGCAGAUUAGAAGAAAGCAAUGUUUUACUGAUCUCAUCUGAUGACGUCUUUCCAUAGCAAGAUCACUCUCAGCCAAUUGCUUUGAGAGAAGACAUCCAGCCACCACAGCACACCACAGCAUCACGUGACGUGACGGCCGGAUGGAAUCUGCGCAUGUGCACGUGCUGGGCUGCUGUAGGCUGCAGCGACCGCUGACGUGCCAUUGGCUGAGGUUACUCUCAGUCAUUGACAUGAAGUCACUAGAUGCUCCGCUGGGGACAGUCUCUAUGCUGCACCGAUCACAAUGCAUUAUUGUCUGCUAAUUUCAGAUGUCUUGAAUCAAAUAUUAAACUGAACAA